rnacentral:rRNA from 1 species
UACAGAGGGUGCGAGCGUUGUCCGGAAUCACUGGGCGUAAAGGGCGCGUAGGCGGCCUGGUAAGUAGGGGGUGAAAUCCUGCGGCUCAACCGCAGGGCUGCCUCCUAAACUGUCAGGCUGGAGCACGGUAGAGGCAGAUGGAAUUCCCGGUGUAGCGGUGGAAUGCGUAGAGAUCGGGAGGAACAUCAGUGGCGAAGGCGGCCAUCUGGGACAACACUGACGCUGAAGCACGAAAGCGUGGGGAGCAAACAGG